GCAAUAACAUUGGAAAGCUUUUUCAAAAGGAGAUGAGGAUACAGGAGAGAGAAUACAACUGAAAAUAUCAAUGAAAUAUAUUUGCAAAUACUCGGAUGCUGAAGAAUGGAUCACUAUGACCAAAAAUGUUAUGCCCGCUCCCUGCCUCAAGCCCUUGACCUAAUGAGAUUCAUUCCUGCCAUGCCACCUCAGCCUUUGGGAACCUUCUGGAAGUUCUAAUCACUAGUUUCACAGAGGAAAUGUCAGGU